GUGGGGAAUUUUGGACAAUGGGCGAAAGCCUGAUCCAGCCAUGCCGCGUGCAGGAUGAAGGCCUUCGGGUUGUAAACUGCUUUUGUACGGAACGAAAAGACUCCUUCUAAUAAAGGGGGUCCAUGACGGUACCGUAAGAAUAAGCACCGGCUAACUACGUGCCAGCAGCCGCGGUAAUACGCAGGGUGCCAGCGUUAAUCGGAAUUACUGGGCGUAAAGCGUGCGCAGGCGGUUAUAUAAGACAGAUGUGAAAUCCCCGGGCUCAACCUGGGAACUGGAUUUGUGACUGUAUAGCUAGAGUACGGCAGAGGGGGAUGGAAUUCCGCGUGUAGCAGUGAAAUGCGUAGAUAUGCGGAGGAACACCGAUGGCGAAGGCAAUCCCCUGGGCCUGUACUGACGCUCAUGCACGAAAGCGUGGGGAGCAAACAGGAUUAGAUACCCUAGUAGUCC
rnacentral:rRNA from 1 species